rnacentral:rRNA from 1 species
CCUUUGCCCUUUUUCAAUUGCGUAGGAAAAGGAAACUAACAAGGAUUCCCUUAGUAACGGCGAGUGAAGCGGGAAGAGCUCAAAUUUGAAAUCUUCAAGGUUUUACCUUGACGAAUUGUAGUUUAAAGAAGUGUUUUCUGUUGAAGUUUUGGUAAAAGUUCUUUGGAAUAGGACAUCAUAGAGGGUGAGAAUCCCGUAUUUGACCAUUAUUUUCAGCUGUGUGAUACACUUUCAAAGAGUCGGAUUGUUUGGGAAUGCAGUCCAAAAUGGGUGGUAAAUUUCAUCUAAAGCUAAAUAUUGGCGAGAGACCGAUAGCGAACAAGUACCGUGAGGGAAAGAUGAAAAGAACUUUGAAAAGAGAGUUAAACAGUACGUGAAAUUGUCAAAAGGGAAGCGUUUGACACCAGUGUUGUUUUCUCGAAAAUCAAUUAAAAAAAGUUGGAUUUUGUGUUGUAUUGACCUUAACAGCUUGCUUCACUCUUUUCCUGCUUUUUUUAAUGCACUUUUCGUUUAACAAGUCAACAUCAGUUUCUUUUGUUGUAAAAGGGUCAUUGGAAGGUGGCUUUCUCUUCGGAGAAAGUGUUUAUAGCCUUUGAUCUCUGCAAUCGGAGAGACUGAGGUCUGCAGCGUAGAUCCUUCGGGGUUAGAUACAUUUGUGCUAAGCUACAGCUUUUCAUAGACAACUUGUUGACUAUGUUUAGUCUUGUAACUUACCCGCUUAUGCUAUUUUACCUACGCUUAGGAUGUUGACAAAAUGGUUUUAAACGACCCGUCUUAAAACCAAAAACCACA